rnacentral:rRNA from 1 species
GGGUCCUACGGGAGGCCGCAGUGGGGACGGGAGGCAGCAGUUAGGAACCUUCGGCAACAAGGGAAACGUGGAGCAAGAAGGCUCUGGGGGGAGGAUGAAGGUUUUUGGAUGAUGAAAUCCUGGAAAAGGGCCGGACGGUGCCAGAGGAAUAAGCAUCGGCCGGUCCGUGCCAGCAGCCGCGGUAAGACGGAGGAUGCAAGCGUUAUCCGGAAUGGAAGGGCUUAAAGCGUCCGCAGGUAGCAGUUCAAGUCUGUUGUCAAAGCCCGGGGCUUAACUUCGGAAAGGCAAUGGAAACUGAACAGCUAGAGUGUGGUAGGGGCAGAGGGAAUUCCUGGUGUAGCGGUGAAAGGCGUAGAGAUCGGGAAGAACACCGGUGGGGAAGGCGCUCAGCUGGACCACCACCGACACUCAGGGAGGCAAGCUAGGGGAGGGAACGGGCUUAGAUAGACCCCUAGUCCUACCCCUCAACGAUGGAUGCUUGGUGGGUUCGUAUCGACCCGGUCAGUGCCGUAGCUAACGCGUUAAGUUCCCGCCUGGCAGACGCACACGGU